rfam:Oryza glumipatula chromosome 1, whole genome shotgun sequence.
UUUAAUUGUAGAUGUGAGUUUUCGUGUCCAACGUUUGACCAUCCGUCUUAUUUGAUUUUUUUAAUGAUUAUUAUUUUUAUUGCUAUUAGAUAAAAAAACAUGAAUAAUAUUGUAUGUGUGAUAUUUUUUAUUUUUUUUAAAAAAGACGCAUGAUCAAACAUUAAACAUGGAAAGCCGCAACAGUAAUUAAA